UACGAAGGGAGCUAGCGUUGUUCGGAAUUACUGGGCGUAAAGCGUGCGUAGGCGGCCAACUAAGUCGGACGUGAAAUCCCCAGGCUCAACCUGGGAACUGCGUCCGAUACUGGAUGGCUUGAAUCCGGGAGAGGGAUGCAGAAUUCCAGGUGUAGCGGUGAAAUGCGUAGAUAUCUGGAGGAAUACCGGUGGCGAAGGCGGCAUCCUGGACCGGCAUUGACGCUGAGGAGCGAAAGCCAGGGGAGCAAACGGG
rnacentral:rRNA from 1 species